rnacentral:rRNA from 1 species
GUUGACGUAUUCUAGAAAGGGAUACUUCUUCGGACAAUAUACAAGGUGCUGCAUGGUUGUCGUCAGCUCGUGCCGUGAGGUGUCGGGUUAAGUCCCGUAACGAGCGCAACCCUUGUCCUUAGUUACCAGCACGUUAUGGUGGGCACUCUAAGGAGACUGCCGGUGACAAACCGGAGGAAGGUGGGGAUGACGUCAAGUCAUCAUGGCCCUUACGGCCUGGGCUACACACGUGCUACAAUGGUCGGUACAAAGGGUUGCCAAGCCGCGAGGUGGAGCUAAUCCCAUAAAACCGAUCGUAGUCCGGAUCGCAGUCUGCAACUCGACUGCGUGAAGUCGGAAUCGCUAGUAAUCGUGAAUCAGAAUGUCACGGUGAAUACGUUCCCGGGCCUU